UUAAGCGACUAAGCGUACACGGUGGAUGCCCUGGCAGUCAGAGGCGAUGAAGGACGUGCUAAUCUGCGAUAAGCGUCGGUAAGGUGAUAUGAACCGUUAUAACCGGCGAUUUCCGAAUGGGGAAACCCAGUGUGAUUCGUCACACUAUCAUUAACUGAAUCCAUAGGUUAAUGAGGCGAACCGGGGGAACUGAAACAUCUAAGUACCCCGAGGAAAAGAAAUCAACCGAGAUUCCCCCAGUAGCGGCGAGCGAACGGGGAGGAGCCCAGAGCCUGAAUCAGUGUGUGUGUUAGUGGAAGCGUCUGGAAAGGCGCGCGAUACAGGGUGACAGCCCCGUACACAAAAAUGCACAUGCUGUGAGCUCGAUGAGUAGGGCGGGACACGUGGUAUCCUGUCUGAAUAUGGGGGGACCAUCCUCCAAGGCUAAAUACUCCUGACUGACCGAUAGUGAACCAGUACCGUGAGGGAAAGGCGAAAAGAACCCCGGCGAGGGGAGUGAAAAAGAACCUGAAACCGUGUACGUACAAGCAGUGGGAGCACGCUUAGGCGUGUGACUGCGUACCUUUUGUAUAAUGGGUCAGCGACUUAUAUUCUGUAGCAAGGUUAACCGAAUAGGGGAGCCGAAGGGAAACCGAGUCUUAACUGGGCGUUAAGUUGCAGGGUAUAGACCCGAAACCCGGUGAUCUAGCCAUGGGCAGGUUGAAGGUUGGGUAACACUAACUGGAGGACCGAACCGACUAAUGUUGAAAAAUUAGCGGAUGACUUGUGGCUGGGGGUGAAAGGCCAAUCAAACCGGGAGAUAGCUGGUUCUCCCCGAAAGCUAUUUAGGUAGCGCCUCGUGAAUUCAUCUCCGGGGGUAGAGCACUGUUUCGGCAAGGGGGUCAUCCCGACUUACCAACCCGAUGCAAACUGCGAAUACCGGAGAAUGUUAUCACGGGAGACACACGGCGGGUGCUAACGUCCGUCGUGAAGAGGGAAACAACCCAGACCGCCAGCUAAGGUCCCAAAGUCAUGGUUAAGUGGGAAACGAUGUGGGAAGGCCCAGACAGCCAGGAUGUUGGCUUAGAAGCAGCCAUCAUUUAAAGAAAGCGUAAUAGCUCACUGGUCGAGUCGGCCUGCGCGGAAGAUGUAACGGGGCUAAACCAUGCACCGAAGCUGCGGCAGCGACGCUUAUGCGUUGUUGGGUAGGGGAGCGUUCUGUAAGCCUGUGAAGGUGUACUGUGAGGUAUGCUGGAGGUAUCAGAAGUGCGAAUGCUGACAUAAGUAACGAUAAAGCGGGUGAAAAGCCCGCUCGCCGGAAGACCAAGGGUUCCUGUCCAACGUUAAUCGGGGCAGGGUGAGUCGACCCCUAAGGCGAGGCCGAAAGGCGUAGUCGAUGGGAAACAGGUUAAUAUUCCUGUACUUGGUGUUACUGCGAAGGGGGGACGGAGAAGGCUAUGUUGGCCGGGCGACGGUUGUCCCGGUUUAAGCGUGUAGGCUGGUUUUCCAGGCAAAUCCGGAAAAUCAAGGCUGAGGCGUGAUGACGAGGCACUACGGUGCUGAAGCAACAAAUGCCCUGCUUCCAGGAAAAGCCUCUAAGCAUCAGGUAACAUCAAAUCGUACCCCAAACCGACACAGGUGGUCAGGUAGAGAAUACCAAGGCGCUUGAGAGAACUCGGGUGAAGGAACUAGGCAAAAUGGUGCCGUAACUUCGGGAGAAGGCACGCUGAUAUGUAGGUGAAGUCCCUCGCGGAUGGAGCUGAAAUCAGUCGAAGAUACCAGCUGGCUGCAACUGUUUAUUAAAAACACAGCACUGUGCAAACACGAAAGUGGACGUAUACGGUGUGACGCCUGCCCGGUGCCGGAAGGUUAAUUGAUGGGGUUAGCGCAAGCGAAGCUCUUGAUCGAAGCCCCGGUAAACGGCGGCCGUAACUAUAACGGUCCUAAGGUAGCGAAAUUCCUUGUCGGGUAAGUUCCGACCUGCACGAAUGGCGUAAUGAUGGCCAGGCUGUCUCCACCCGAGACUCAGUGAAAUUGAACUCGCUGUGAAGAUGCAGUGUACCCGCGGCAAGACGGAAAGACCCCGUGAACCUUUACUAUAGCUUGACACUGAACAUUGAGCCUUGAUGUGUAGGAUAGGUGGGAGGCUUUGAAGUGUGGACGCCAGUCUGCAUGGAGCCGACCUUGAAAUACCACCCUUUAAUGUUUGAUGUUCUAACGUUGACCCGUAAUCCGGGUUGCGGACAGUGUCUGGUGGGUAGUUUGACUGGGGCGGUCUCCUCCUAAAGAGUAACGGAGGAGCACGAAGGUUGGCUAAUCCUGGUCGGACAUCAGGAGGUUAGUGCAAUGGCAUAAGCCAGCUUGACUGCGAGCGUGACGGCGCGAGCAGGUGCGAAAGCAGGUCAUAGUGAUCCGGUGGUUCUGAAUGGAAGGGCCAUCGCUCAACGGAUAAAAGGUACUCCGGGGAUAACAGGCUGAUACCGCCCAAGAGUUCAUAUCGACGGCGGUGUUUGGCACCUCGAUGUCGGCUCAUCACAUCCUGGGGCUGAAGUAGGUCCCAAGGGUAUGGCUGUUCGCCAUUUAAAGUGGUACGCGAGCUGGGUUUAGAACGUCGUGAGACAGUUCGGUCCCUAUCUGCCGUGGGCGCUGGAGAAUUGAGGGGGGCUGCUCCUAGUACGAGAGGACCGGAGUGGACGCAUCACUGGUGUUCGGGUUGUCAUGCCAAUGGCACUGCCCGGUAGCUAAAUGCGGAAGAGAUAAGUGCUGAAAGCAUCUAAGCACGAAACUUGCCCCGAGAUGAGUUCUCCCUGACUCCUUGAGAGUCCUGAAGGAACGUUGAAGACGACGACGUUGAUAGGCCGGGUGUGUAAGCGCAGCGAUGCGUUGAGCUAACCGGUACUAAUGAACCGUGAGGCUUAACCUU
rnacentral:rRNA from 2 species